rnacentral:tRNA from 1 species
GGAGAGGUGACCGAGUGGACGAAGGUGCAUGAUUGGAAAUCAUGUGUACGGCAACGUACCGCGGGUUCGAAUCCCGCUCUCUCCGCCA